rnacentral:tRNA from 1 species
UGGGCAGUGGCACAGUGUUAAGUGCACGUGUUGACACACGUAAGAACUUGGGUUCAAAUCCCCAUUCCCCAG